CGGUGGGGCCGGGCGGCGGCAGAGGAGGAGCAGGAGAGGCCCGCGGCAGGCAGGGCGCGAGCAGGGGCUCCGAACUCGCCCUGACAAGCGCCCGUUGGGCCCGGCCGGCCUCAGCGGCCUCGGCCGCCGGCAGCUCCGGGAAUCCCCUCGGCGAUGUGCCUGCGGUUGGCGUGUUACCGGUGUUUGUGUGUGGCGGUUUGGGGUUGUUUGGGGUUUGUGUGUGUGUGUGUGUGUGUGGUUUAUUUCUUUAUUCCCCCCCAUGGAGGUUUGAGUGUCACGGCUCCCGAACGGCGGGCGGGGCGGGCGCCAGGCCCGGGGCGGCCCUCCCGGGGGCCUGGCCUGGCAGCACAGGCUGCGGGCAGCGCGGCCUGCCCGGGGGCAGGGGCAGGCCCGGCAGGGGCUCUGUCCCCCGGCUGUAGAGGCCGGGAGGUGAGGCAGCCGAGGGGCUGUCAGGGCACAGCGCCGGUGUCUGGUGGGCAGGGCGCUCGGCACCCCGCGCUCCAGCCCGGCCCCGGGCAGGGCAGGGUCCCGAUGCUCCCUUCACACUGGGCUUCUUACCCCGGUUGCUUUUUUUUUCUAAACGCGCAUAGACACUGAAGGCUGCCAAGAUGCAGGUUUUACCCCUAGAUCCCAAGGAGCAGGAAUAAAUCAAAAUUCAUUUUUUGUUUUCUUUCCAAAGCUCCUGCCUCUGCGUUUUUGAUCUCGUAAGUCCCUUGGAAGGUGGUGUCAGCUAAACCUUAGAGCCCUGGGACUUCUAGGGAAGUGCAAAGUCCUUAGAAAGGGCUGAUGUUCACCUGUAGAUGCCUCAGGAUCUCCCUGCAAAAGGACUAAGUCUGACACUUGCCUGGGUUCAGUAAGGUGCUUCUCUGAAGUAAUUUCUUCUCUGGACUUUCAGCUUCUUCCUGAUACCUCAGAUAUAGAAAUACAUUUGAAUUAAGUUCUCUAUUUAAUUUCUUGGUUUGAUGUCUGUGUCCCUUUUUGAACCGAUUCCUUCAUUUGUAUUGCUUAUUCCUUAUGCAGUGUAUUAUGAAUUUAAAUAGAAUUAUUUUUAGCUCACUCUUCCGAGUGUCUCCUUUGUAAACAGAGGAAAGUAAUCUUGGGAGGGAAGUGGGUAUUAGUUGCACUUUAUUAUCUGGCCUCUGCUCUGCCAAGGGAAGUUGCUUGGCAAGUUCUGUGCUGAGCAAAACUCCCACUUCUCUGUUGAAAGUUGUUGGUUUUGCUUUCUGAUUGACUUGAACAUUCAGCCCAUAGUGCUUAGCCAGCUGUAUCCGUAUAUAAGUUAAUGUUAGAUGUCAUCGUUUUCUGGAUGCUUGAAACUUAUGUACCAAGGUAAGGAGACUGUUACACCAAUGGAAAUCCAAAUGUUACUGAAAGGAGCUCAGUCUUGAAGUUUUUCUUUUUGAAGGGUUGUUUUAUUGCAUUGUCUUAGGAGCAGGAACAUAUUUAAAAGCGUAUCCAUGCUAUGAGCGAACAGGUAUGGACUGAUUGCAGACUAGGCCAUGGGUCUUGAAAUCCUGUUUCAGCUUGAAGUAAACACUGGUCCGUCUGGCAGUGAGCCAAGAGGGGAGGUUUUAUGUCACACUCUUGGCCUGAGUCUGUUUAAAUCCUGGUGUCAGCUCCUGGUCAUGAAUCAGGUCUAUGACCUGAGCUUCUAGGAAUUUUUUAACAAGAAAUAUCCAUUUAAAAGUGGAAUGAAAAAAUCAGCAGAAACUCAGUAUUCUUACGAGCUUUUUUGCACGUGUCAUGUUGCAGUUAUGGUGAGCUGUGUGUGCCGUGGUAAAACUUUAAAAAUAAAUAAAACUGUUGGAUGUC